AAGACUAUACUUUCAGGGAUCAUUUCUAUAGUUUAUUACUAGAGAAGUUCCUCUGAACGUGUAAAGUACCCGAAACCACGAGGAAGAGGUGUAAUAUCCCUUUCUGAGCGUGAAGUUGGCUCUAGGUGUUGUUUUUUUACGGACGCCUUUUGUCUUUGAUGAUCGUUCUUCUUCUCUUAAAGAGAAGUUAGAAGAAAGGGAUGUCAUCUGAGUGGU